UACGUAGGGUGCGAGCGUUGUCCGGAAUUACUGGGCGUAAAGAGCUCGUAGGUGGUUUGUCGCGUUGUCCGUGAAAACUCACAACUCAAUUGUGGGCGUGCGGGCGAUACGGGCAGACUGGAGUAUUGCAGGGGAGACUGGAAUUCCUGGUGUAGCGGUGGAAUGCGCAGAUAUCAGGAGGAACACCGGUGGCGAAGGCGGGUCUCUGGGCAGUAACUGACGCUGAGGAGCGAAAGCGUGGGGAGCGAACAGG
rnacentral:rRNA from 1 species